rnacentral:rRNA from 1 species
CAGCCGCCGCGGGAAUACGUAGGGUGCAAGCGUUAAUCGGAAUUACUGGGCGUAAAGCGUGCGCAGGCGGUUAUAUAAGACAGAUGUGAAAUCCCCGGGCUCAACCUGGGAACUGCAUUUGUGAAUGUAUAGCUAGAGUACGGCAGAGGGGGAUGGAAUUCCGCGUGUAGCAGUGAAAUGCGUAGAUAUGCGGAGGAACACCGAUGGCGAAGGCAAUCCCCUGGGCCUGUACUGACGCUCAUGCACGAAAGCGUGGGGAGCAAACAGGAUUAGAUACCCCCGUAGUCCCUGUCUCUUAUAC